CCUACGGGAGGCUGCAGUGAGGAAUAUUGGUCAAUGGACGAGAGUCUGAACCAGCCAAGUAGCGUGAAGGAUGACUGCCCUAUGGGUUGUAAACUUCUUUUAUAUGGGAAUAAAAUGUUCCACGUGUGGGAUUUUGUAUGUACCAUAUGAAUAAGGAUCGGCUAACUCCGUGCCAGCAGCCGCGGUAAUACGGAGGAUCCGAGCGUUAUCCGGAUUUAUUGGGUUUAAAGGGAGCGUAGGUGGAUUGUUAAGUCAGUUGUGAAAGUUUGCGGCUCAACCGUAAAAUUGCAGUUGAUACUGGCAGUCUUGAGUACAGUAGAGGUGGGCGGAAGUCGUGGUGUAGCGGUGAAAUGCUUAGAUAUCACGAAGAACUCCGAUUGCGAAGGCAGUUCACUGGACUGCAACUGACACUGAGGCUCGAAAGUGUGGGUAUCAAACAGGAUUAGAUACCCCAGUAGUC
rnacentral:rRNA from 1 species